AACGAACGCUGGCGGCAUGCCUAACACAUGCAAGUCGAACGGGAUCUUGACUUCGGUCAGGUGAGAGUGGCGGACGGGUGAGUAACACGUGGGAACCUGCCUUUUGGUUCGGGAUAACCGCGGGAAACUGCGGCUAAUACCGGAUACUCCCGAGAGGGGAAAGAUUUAUCGCCAGAAGAGGGGCCCGCGUCCGAUUAGGUAGUUGGUGGGGUAAUGGCCUACCAAGCCGACGAUCGGUAGCUGGUCUGAGAGGAUGAUCAGCCACACUGGGACUGAGAUACGGCCCAGACUCCUACGGGAGGCAGCAGUGGGGAAUAUUGGACAAUGGGGGGCAACCCUGAUCCAGCAAUGCCGCGUGAGUGAUGAAGGCCUUAGGGUUGUAAAGCUCUUUUGCCAGGGAAGAUGGUGACUGUACCUGGAGAAUAAGCCCCGGCUAACUUCGUGCCAGCAGCCGCGGUAAU
rnacentral:rRNA from 1 species